UACAGAGGGUGCAAGCGUUGUUCGGAAUUAUUGGGCGUAAAGGGCGCGUAGGCGGUGCUGUAAGUCUGUAGUGAAAUCUCUGGGCUCAACUCAGAGUCUGCUAUAGAAACUGCAGUGCUAGAGUGUGGGAGAGGUGAGUGGAAUUCCCGGUGUAGCGGUGAAAUACGUAGAUAUCGGGAGGAACACCUGUGGCGAAAGCGGCUCACUGGACCACAACUGACGCUGAGGCGCGAAAGCUAGGGGAGCAAACAGG
rnacentral:rRNA from 1 species